CAGGCCUUCCCCAGCCAUUCGGCAGCUCACGUAGCAUCAAUAUAUGUAGAACAAUAGCCAUCGCCAGUGAGCUCCGUGUGCGCAUCGUCGGAACCUCAGGAACGAUCAUUCCAGUGAUCGUUGGCAGUUACUCGUCUUACUGCCUGAAUCGUGUGAAGGAACAGUCAGUGCGAUCCGUAAUUAAUGGAAAGAUAAAUCCUGGUCUGAGGUCUCUCUCUCGCGUCAAAAAAUCGGUGUGUUUAGGGCAGGCCCGCAGCCCAAUCAUGAUCAACUACGGCAUUUGGCCUCAUACGGUGUUUUUAUCUCCUGCCUGACGCCCCAAUCAACAGGUGAAAAGAGGAUAAUUUCCAAGGAACAGUUGCUGGUAUAGUCCAAGGUGACUAUCGUAUGGAUGGCA